UACGAAGGGGGCUAGCGUUGCUCGGAAUCACUGGGCGUAAAGGGUGCGUAGGCGGGGCUUUAAGUCAGGGGUGAAAUCCUGGAGCUCAACUCCAGAACUGCCUUUGAUACUGAAGAUCUUGAGUUCGGGAGAGGUGAGUGGAACUGCGAGUGUAGAGGUGAAAUUCGUAGAUAUUCGCUAGAACACCAGUGGCGAAGGCGGCUCACUGGCCCGAUACUGACGCUGAGGCACGAAAGCGUGGGGAGCAAACAGG
rnacentral:rRNA from 1 species